GACGAACGCUGGCGGCAAGCUUAACACAUGCAAGCCGAACGCCGUAGCAAUACGGAGUGGCAGACGGGUGAGUAACACGUGGGAACGUGCCUUUCGGUUCGGAACAACUGAGGGAAACUUCAGCUAAAACCGGAUACGCCCUUCGGGGGAAAGUUUACGCCGAAAGAUCGGCCCGCGUCAGAUUAGGUAGUUGGCGGGGUAAUGGCCCACCAAGCCGAUGAUCUGUAGCUGUUCUGAGAGGAAGAUCAGCCACACUGGGACUGAGACACGGCCCAGACUCCUACGGGAGGCAGCAGUGGGGAAUAUUGGACAAUGGGCGCAAGCCUGAUCCAGCUAUGCCGCGUGGAUGAAGAAGGCCUUCGGGUUGUAAAGUCCUUUCGGCGGGGACGAUGAUGACGGUACCCGCAGAAGAAGCCCCGGCUAACUUCGUGCCAGCCGCCGCAGUAAUAC
rnacentral:rRNA from 1 species